UGACGAGUGGUGAUGAUGACGACAGUUGUCUUUUAUCCUGAAUAAGUUUUAUGUGGGUUUCUAGUCACUACCUCAUCUGAACCGUCA